CGCAGGCUGCAACCCGCCUGCGUGAAGUCGGAAUCGCUAGUAAUCGCGGAUCAGCAUGCCGCGGUGAAUACGUUCCCGGGCCUUGUACACACCGCCCGUCACACCAUGAGAGUCGGGAACACCCGAAGCCCGUAGCCUAACUUGCAAGAGGAGGGCGCGGUCGAAGGUGGGUUCGAUAAUUGGGGUGAAGUCGUAACAAGGUAUC
rnacentral:rRNA from 1 species